rnacentral:lncRNA from 1 species
AGUUUGUUCGGAACUACGAUCCUCUGGUCACGAACCUGCUCGGCUCCAUCAGAAUCGCUCUCGGGAUUUGGCGUUGCAGUAAGAGAUUUCAUGUUGCUGUAAGUGUGUUGUUACUCACUGUUUGUCAUAUUAUGAUCUCUCUUUCUUUGUCUGUGAUGGAUUUGGAUUUGGAUUUGGCUUUGGCUUUGGCUUUGGUUUGAAACGGAGAAAAUAAAUGCAAGAGAAGCAAGUAUGUGGCUGUGAUGAGAGGGAUCUAUCAAGGAGGGUCCAUGGAAAUGCUCAUUCAUUUGUUGUAACAAUAUGAGAGACAGUGGUGGGAGAUUGAUAUUGUGCUCAUUUAUGAGGGAGAUGAGGAAUGUUGGGUAUGAUAUCAUCAUAUUUCCCUUCCAUCUACCUCUACCCCAAUGGAUGUCUACAAUAUAACUAAGAAAAUGCGACCGCGUUGUCUUAAUGGAAAUUUGAAUCUAACUGAUUACUUUAGUUUUAAUUCAAAUUUUAUAGACAUUUUCUAAUCAAAAGAAAUACAAUUUCUUUAAAUUUAUUUUAUGCUCUAGUUGAAAGUAAGUUUUAAAAUUUAUAAUUUAAAUCUUGGUAAUUUUAGGUGUAAAUCGAUUUUGAUUAUUAAUUUUAUUGUGGGACGAUUUUUAGUUUUUUUUUCUUCUUUUCUUCGUAUUAUUAAUUUCUUCAUAUUAUUACGUUUUCUUUCUCUCUUUUUUUUCUUGUUUACAAUUUCUUCAUUUUCUCUUCCAUAAUUUUUUUCCUUCUUUUUCAUUUUUCAUUUUCUUUGGUCUUAGAUCUAAACGAUCGUAAUACUAAUAUUUAAACGAUCAGUUGUCUAUCACAAAUAGACAUAUAGACCACUAUCACUAAUAGACUAUUUACUUUGGUACAAGAUCAUUUAGGGUGGUACAAAAUUGUUUAAAUUUGGUACGAUAUCGUUUAGACUAAGUAUAAGAUCAGGUACACGGGUAUAAUAUUGUUUAAACUUAGUACAAAUCGUUUGAACUUGGUACAAAAUAUCGUUUAAACGAGGUACAAAAUCAUUUUUUCACGCAUGUGAUCGAUUAAUUGUAUGAGUAUUUUUUAUAUUUCACGUAGUGGACUUGUAAGCUUUUUUUCCUUUUCAAAUUUUUGCGUUUUAUUCUUUUUUUUUUAAAAAAAAAUAACCUUUAAUCAUUAUGCAUCUCAAAAACUUAAAAAGAAUGAAUAUCAAAUAUCUGAUUUGAGUGAAGUUACUUAGCAUGUUUUAUUAACAUAUAAGAGUGUUUAUUUAAUUAGAAACAUGGGUUGUUCCUAUUCAUGAAUAAUUAUUUUACUAUCCAUAUUUAUCUUUUACAAUCAGGUGAGCUUGAGAUUAAGUUAAUUUGAAGGUUAGAGCUUGAGACCUCGCAUGGCCUGGAGACCCUUAUCCCUUGCUGACAACCAGCCAUCAUCUACAACAUUAAUAAUACUUCUUUUCAUCUCAUUUUUAUACUGUCAUCAAUCACGAGUUACAUUGAUUUUUGUAAAGUUGAUGUAUCAUUAGUCUGUAUGAACAGGAGAUGAUGGUUAAAACACUAAUUAUCAUCUCUUGUCAAUGGUUAGUUACUCUUUUACAAGGUUGGAUUGUCUCCACAUGGCAUAAGUUUAUCCUAUCAAUAUAGUAUGUUAAUU